CGCGGGCGAGCAACGCGGCCAGUUCCCGCUCCUGGUCGGGGCGCAGGGCCAGGUUCGACGCCCGCACCUGCGGC
rnacentral:tRNA from 1 species